rnacentral:rRNA from 1 species
GGUUUGAUCCUGGCUCAGAUUGAACGCUGGCGGCAGGCCUAACACAUGCAAGUCGAGCGGAAACGAGUUAACUGAACCUUCGGGGAACGUUAACGGCGUCGAGCGGCGGACGGGUGAGUAAUGCCUGGGAAAUUGCCCUGAUGUGGGGGAUAACCAUUGGAAACGAUGGCUAAUACCGCAUAAUAGCUUCGGCUCAAAGAGGGGGACCUUCGGGCCUCUCGCGUCAGGAUAUGCCCAGGUGGGAUUAGCUAGUUGGUGAGGUAAUGGCUCACCAAGGCGACGAUCCCUAGCUGGUCUGAGAGGAUGAUCAGCCACACUGGAACUGAGACACGGUCCAGACUCCUACGGGAGGCAGCAGUGGGGAAUAUUGCACAAUGGGCGCAAGCCUGAUGCAGCCAUGCCGCGUGUAUGAAGAAGGCCUUCGGGUUGUAAAGUACUUUCAGCAGUGAGGAAGGUGGGUAUGUUAAUAGCAUAUUCAUUUGACGUUAGCUGCAGAAGAAGCACCGGCUAACUCCGUGCCAGCAGCCGCGGUAAUACGGAGGGUGCGAGCGUUAAUCGGAAUUACUGGGCGUAAAGCGCAUGCAGGUGGUUUGUUAAGUCAGAUGUGAAAGCCCGGGACUCAACCUCGGAAUUGCAUUUGAAAACUGGGCAAACUA